UGGGGAAUUUUGCACAAUGGGGGAAACCCUGAUGCAGCGACGCCGCGUGAUUUAGAAGGCCUUCGGGUUGUAAAAAUCUUUUCUAUGGGAAGAAAAUGACAGUACCAUAGGAAUAAGGACCGGCUAAUUACGUUCCAGCAGCCGCGGUAAUACGUAAGGUCCGAGCGUUGUCCGGAAUCAUUGGGCGUAAAGGGUACGUAGGCGGGUAAGCAAGUUAGAAGUGAAAUCCUAUAGCUCAACUAUAGUAAGCUUUUAAAACUGCUCAUCUUGAGGUAUGGAAGGGAAAGUGGAAUUCCUAGUGUAGCGGUGAAAUGCGCAGAUAUUAGGAGGAAUACCGGUGGCGAAGGCGACUUUCUGGCCAUAACCUGACGCUGAGGUACGAAAGCGUGGGUAGCAAACAGG
rnacentral:rRNA from 1 species